rnacentral:lncRNA from 1 species
AAGAACAAGAACCCUAGGUGGAGGAUUUCAAGAGAAAAAGUGUGAAAAAUCAAGGAAAACAAGUGAAAAAGGUAGGAUUUCUCAAUUUAAACUCGAAAUCUAUUUUCCUUAAACGUUUUUCCUUAUUUUUCAUGGUUAAAUUUCAUGUUUUCAUGGUGAAUUCAUUUCUAGCCGAAUGGGUAUGGAGAGAGAAUGAUGUUGGAUUGAUUUGAUUUCAAGUUAUGUUAGUGUUUUUAGUUAGUUUACCAUGUCUAGAAGCAAAACAAUAAGAAAAGAAUUCAUUUUCCACAUCACCCAUCAAUGGCCGAACCUACCUUGUAUUGAGUGAGGAUGAAUUUGAUUUUUAUUUUAAGAGAAUUGGUUAGAAAAUGAUGAAUUAUGGUGUGGAAAAGUAGUAGGAAAAAUCACGAUGUUAAUGCUCCAUUAUUGACCAAAAAUUCUAAAAAGAAAAGUGAAGAUAGUUUUGCCAAAUUUUAGGUUAUUUGAUUUGUGUUUGGUGAAUUAACGUAUUAGAAAAGAAAUGGAGCAAUUUGGAGCUAAAUUGGACGCGUUGGCCAAUUAAUCGAGUGAUAAGAUGAAUUAGGCCAAUAUUGGGUUUAGAUGGUUACCCGUGCAUUUUGCAUUCCAUAUCAUCCAUUAGUAGUCUAAAUUAGUUUAAUUUUGAUUUAGUACCAACGUAGUAAGUUUCUUGAUUUGUACUAUGUCAAGGUGAUGAGUCCUCCGAUAAAGGCAAGGAAAUUGCAUCUGAGGACCAGUAGUCAGAGUACUUCAAAAAUUCGCACUCUAGACAUUGUGAGUAACCUUACUAUCGUCUUAAUUAUCUAAAGUGGUUUUUAUCCGAUUUUGUGAAUUUCAUGAAAAAUGAAUUAAAUGAUUGAUUUUUCGGUUUUAUAAACCAAAUGUGAUUUAAUGAAAUAAUUUCAUAAAAUUGUUUUAAAAUUGAAUAAUGGCUUUGAAAAUAGAGUAAUUGGAGGCCAUUUCAUGUGUUGUAAAUUCAUGGUUUGAAUCGAAUGGCUUAUGACAAUAUUUGCAUGAAUGGCUGAAUCGGUAUUUGUGUUGAAAUAUAUGAACUGUGUAUUUAGCCUUGAAAGGCUGUGAAUUACAAUAAUUGCCAUAUCAUGUAUUGAAUUAUAUUGAUUAGUGGGAUAAUUAUUAGCUUACUGCAGUGGACGGGUUUCCGUGGACCAGCCUAUUAAAGGGGCACGGUAAACCCCAUUAUAUCUUACCUCAGUAUGAGAGGCGCGGGUGGAUAAUUCUUGAGGUUAACACUUUUAGAGUUCACUUCACGUCAAACCACCACGUGAGGGGGAACUUAGGCAACGCCAAGGAACAGCUAUGUUUUCAAAAUAUAAACAUGAUUUAUGCGUACAUAACUUUUUAAUAGCCUUGACGGACUCGGUUGGGAUAGCCCUCGAUCAAGGCAUCCCUGAUAACUGGGUAUGAGAAUGAUUUUGGCAUGAGCCAAAGCUUUUAAGAAAUUCAUAAGCCAUGUUGAUUACUCGAUUUAUAUGAAUCGAUUUUAUUUGGUUGAAAUGAGUUGAAAGGUAAUGAAUU